rnacentral:tRNA from 1 species
GCGGGCGUGGCGGAAUGGCAGACGCGAUAGACUUAGGAUCUAUUGGGCAACCGUGGAGGUUCGAGUCCUCUCGCCCGCACCA